GGAGUUUGGGGUCCUCUGAAAGAAGGUGAAAAAGGGGGAGAAUUACUGAGGUUGGUGAAGACCCCAGAGGAAAGAUUUGAGGGUCAAAGCCUCCAAUUUGAGCAGAAAAAUCUGAAAAAGAGAAA